GAAUCUAUGUUUAUGUCAAUGAGGCAAUUUUUGUCUCCAGCAAGAAAAAAAUGCUAGUUAGAGGCCGACUGCUUCCUUCUGAACGAUCAAACUUGUCAUGCCACCAUGUCUGCCGUGUGCCCACUUAUGCUGGGAAUGUGUUGUUGGAGUCUGGAAGAAUGACGGGGGAGUUGCUCUUCAUGACGGGAGAGGAUGAAAAAGCUGCUCUGAUGUCUCACGGACGUGACAGCGGAUCUGAUGAAAAAAUGUGCAGUGAUGAUAAUGCAAUGUUAAAUGGCUGAACAUUUCUGCAAGGAGGGGGCCACCAGCUGCAAGGAAUGGAAGAUGCAACUCAGUGCACCAUUUUGGCUGUUUUGUGAAC
ensembl:lncRNA